GCAGAUAACCUGUUGUUUAUGCCUUGUUGCUGAACUUCUCAGCUCCAGCAGGAAAAAUCCUGAAAGAGGAUUUUUCAUGGAAGAAAUGUCUGUGACAGAGAGGCUGUGACUCACUGGGCUUGAGUGCUGUGCAGCCAGUGUGGAAUUUAAACAGGCAAAAACUGGCACAAUUCCCUGCAAACAGUGCUGAGCUCCCCAUCUCCCCGCACAUCAGAAGCUGGAAUUCACCAGAAGAGAAGAAACAGGAAUGAAUUAAUAUUUUAAUAUUUUAACAGGCAUUUUCUGCUCGCAGGAGGUGCCAGCGUGCAGGCGAUUAUCCCCAGGGUUAAAUCCAUAGGGAAAAAAUUGGGAAUGAGUUUUUCCAGUGCAGCUGGGCCAUUUCUCCUGAGCUACCACGAGAGGGACACAGAAGGAAAGCAAAAGGAGCUGGGAAAGGAAGAAUCCAAGGAACAGCUCGAGGUUUAAAUGGGGAUAAAUAUUCCCAGAACAAGCCACGGGGAUGUAACUCCAUGAAGGAAAAGGAGGAGAAGAUUUUGGGCAAAAUCCAGGGAUUUUGAAUGAAGAAAGUUCUCGGAAAUGAAUGGUGAGUGACAUUAAAAGAUAGCAGAUAAUAGAAGAUAACAGGUAAUAAAAGAUAAAUAAUAAAAGAU